UACAGAGGGGGCAAGCGUUGUUCGGAAUUACUGGGCGUAAAGCGUGCGCAGGCGGUCUUGCAAGACAGAUGUGAAAUCCCCGGGCUCAACCUGGGAACUGCAUUUGUGACUGCAAGGCUGGAGUACGGUAGAGGGGGAUGGAAUUCCGCGUGUAGCAGUGAAAUGCGUAGAUAUGCGGAGGAACACCGAUGGCGAAGGCAAUCCCCUGGACCUGUACUGACGCUCAUGCACGAAAGCGUGGGGAGCAAACAGG
rnacentral:rRNA from 1 species